AUUGAACGCUGGCGGCAGGCCUAACACAUGCAAGUCGAGCGGCUGAACAGUGCUUGCUUCUGGUUUCAGCGGCCGACUGGUGAGCAAGUCCUAGGUACCUCCGUGGCUGCGUUUUAUAACGUCCUGACGCGGGCGCUCAUACCCCAUUCCCCCAUACGAACUAAGUGGGGGAUCUUCGGAUCUUCCGCCAUUACACGAGUCUAUGUGGGAUUAGCUAGUUGGUGGGGUAAAGGCCUACCAAGGCGACGAUCCGUAACUGGUCUGAGAGGAUGAUCAGUCACACUGGAACUGAGACACGGUCCAGACUCCUACGGGAGGCAGCAGUGGGGAAUAUUGGACAAUGGGCGAAAGCCUGAUCCAGCCAUACCGCGUGUGUGAAGAAGGUCUUCGGAUUGUAAAGCACUUUUGGUUGGAAAGAAAAGCAGUAGGUUAAUACCUUGCUGUUUUGACGUUACCAAAAGAAUAAGCACCGGCUAACUUCGUG
rnacentral:rRNA from 1 species